rnacentral:rRNA from 1 species
UACGGGGGGUGCAAGCGUUAUCCGGAAUCAUUGGGUUUAAAGGGUCCGUAGGCGGUUUUGUAAGUCAGUGGUGAAAGCCCAUCGCUCAACGGUGGAACGGCCAUUGAUACUGCAAGACUUGAAUUAUUAGGAAGUAACUAGAAUAUGUAGUGUAGCGGUGAAAUGCUUAGAGAUUACAUGGAAUACCAAUUGCGAAGGCAGGUUACUACUAAUGGAUUGACGCUGAUGGACGAAAGCGUGGGGAGCGAACAGG